CUGUUGAAUUAUUAAGGCAUAUUCUAUCUUUUACCAAAACAAAGAAAAGAGAUUUUCAUUUCUCUCUUCAAGCAGCUGCACCUUGCAUGAUGUGAGACUGAAUUCAAAGAUGAAUUAUCGGUGAGAGUAUACAAGGUCAAGAAGAAGAGCCGGUGAUGGAUCUACGCUGUUUUCUAAUACUUAUAAUGAUUCUGAUUUUGGGAAGUUGUGGUGACGACGAUAACAACAAUAGACAGAUUUGAGGGCUUCUUCCGACAACAAUAGGUUCGAUUCGAGAUGUUAAUCAGGAUUGGGGUUUCAUAUGUGCUAGCUGAAUGGAUUUCAUGGGUUCGUACUCAUACUGAAAUUGGGUUCAUGUGAGAGGAAGUAGAUGGCUGAAUCUUAGUGACAGUGGUGGUUUUGAACUGGAAUUCAGGGAGAAUGGAACAAAUUUGGGGUUUGUUAACCCAACUGAGUUUGGGGGAUUAAAUGGUGGAGGUACAGGUCUUGCGAUUGAACGAAGAUGGGUUUGAUGCUGAUAGAGAUGUUCAUGACUGCAACACUUUUCUAUCUCAACUGAUUUUAAAUUUUAUCUCAUUAUCAACAGCAAUAUUAAUACAUGAAGGUUCUGUUGUGCCGAAAUUCAGGAGAUGAUUGCAAUUGGUUUUGUUGGUGGCUGUAUGCGGAUCCGUAGAAGUUUAGAGAAUGGAAAACGGUUGAAAGUGGCUGGAGCAAUGGUGUUAAUCAGACGCAUGAAGGGCUCACUGUUGUUUAGGUUGGAAGUAAAUGGAGUGACAAGUUCAGGGACUCUUAUGAACUCGUGGUAUUAUCGAUCAUGGUAACUCAUAUUAGCUUUUGCAGACGGCAAGGAGGGUCCUGGUUCAGUAAUUUGAUUGUUUGUGAAGUAGUUGGUUGAGCUGCUGCUACCGGUAUACAGGACAGUUCUGGAUGGACAUAUGAGUAAAACCUAGCCCAUGAUGGAUUCCCGGAUCCUUAACCCUUUCUCAUCUUGCUCGACUCUUUAAUAGCUUAGUUUGCAUUUUAUUUUUGUUAGUAUAAAUUUCAGAAAUCAUCCUCUUGAAUUCAUAUUGAUUAGAAAGUUAGUUGCAUUAGUUAGAACUAGUUUACACUCCUCGUGGGAACGAACCACAUUUGCUAUUGUCUACAAUUUGGACACCGUGCACUUGUGGUAAAACAAAGUCGGUCUUCCGACCCAUUCAAGUUUUUGGCGCCGCUGCCGGGGAGUCGUUUCAAAACACUCUUUUUGAUAUCUUCAAUUGUCUAGUCAUAGUUUCUGUACAUAGUGUAUUUUUGUUUUUAUUUUAUUUUUAGUUCCUUUUCAUACUUUUCUUUUAGAUUUUUCUUUUCAGGUACUCUUGUUGCGGCGAUGGCGUUUUAUCGAGGGGAUGAGUCCGGGUUUCUCGGAGAAUACAUGUAUGAACCACAAUAUCAAGAGAUUCAGGAAAUAAAUCGUCUCAGGUAUGGAAAUCGUUAUCAGCAUUACUACAAAGCUGAUGAUUAUUCACAUGAGUACCAAAGUUACCAUCGGGAUGAUUUGUCACAUGCUGAGAUUUUCAACCAGAAUAUAGCUAGUCUGGAAAGAUGGUUAGAGAUGCUAGAAAUCCAGAGGUCAUAUGAAAAUAAUAAUCAGGUUUAUAGUAACUCGUGUUCCAUUGAUUCACAUAUGUACCAAACCCAAUAUCAUGGGGAUAAUUAUUUGCAUGAGGUAUGUGAAUAAUCUUUGAAUUGGCAGCUCAAUGAGGUUUUAGACUAUAGAAAUUUGAGCUUGGAAGAUAGCUUAAGGUUGUACACAUUACAAAUUAGUCGAAAAACGUCUCAACUUCAACAGACCACUCAAUUUUUUUUAGAAAACAUUGAAUAUCAAGUAAGUCAAAUGACUAGACAGUUGGAGGAGGAACAGAGUUGGUUCCCAAACCAGUCUCAAUCCCAAUCUAAUUGUACCUUAGAGUAUAUUGAUUAUUCUUCUGAGGAAGAAAUUGUUAAUGAUCAACUUGUAGAAGUUUUGAGUGGAAGUGAGGAUACCCAAAAUUCAGAUAAUUAUGAUGUUGAAGAACCUGCAUAUGUAGAGGAUGCUACUAUUAGUGUCAUGACUCAAAGGUGAUAGAUGUUCAUAAUGGGAAACCUUCUAAUCAUUUGAAUUCUGAGAUUCAUAAUACUGUUGAAAACGAUAACAAUAUAGUUAUUCAUAAUAACGUUGCUGCACUAUGCCCAAUUUUUGUUGAUCCAUCUAAAAGCUCUCGGGAUGCAUGUAUGAAUGUGGAGCCGAUUGAUACAGGGCAAUCAACUUGGGCCGCUGAUUUUGAACCACUCUCCACGUGUUUAGCCCAUUUUGCAAACUCUGAUGACCCUAUACUAAUUGACAUGUCAAUGCAUUUGAUUCUUCGAUGGGUAAUAUAGGUAACUUAACAACGGAAGUUAUUUCCGCGGACCUAGGCCCAGAUUUUUAGGGGUUAUUGCUUUUGAUGAAAUUGAACCACGAGACACAUGUUUAAAUCAUUUUGAGUAUAAUGAUCCGGUGCCUAGUGUAACUGUUAGUGCAUUGAUUCCUCCGAUUCCUAACGAAGAUAGUUUUUCAAUUGAAAAUAUUUCAGUUGAACUUGAAGCAGAUUUAGGGUCUGCGCUACACACUAUCAAACAAUCUGUACCUGUUGGUGUGAAUGAUUUACUGUUCCCGACAAAGUAUGACUUGAUUAUUAUGGAAUGUUUUACAUAGGGUGGAUCUUCACAUAUUUUUGGCUGAUUAUAGUCUUCACAGGUUCUUAUUUGCAGCUAACCUGAUAAGAUGGGUUGAUCCCCAACUUUUCAGACUUUAUAUUUUAUAUAUAUGCCAGGUUGCAGUUUUGUAUCAUUUUCGGUUUGUUGAGAUUACUUGCUGCGCGCAAGCUAGGAGCAAAUAUCAUUCGCUUCGUGGGAGUCAACCCAUCAGUUUUGUUCCCUUUACUCUAUUUUCUAAUUUUUAUCGCCUCUUGCAUAUCGCAUUUUGGAAUUUCCCACCUUAGCUCUAUGUUGGAUGACUGAAUUACAUUGAGGACAAUGUAAUGUUUAAGUGUGGGGGAGUGGUGAAGUAUAUAUGGAUUUGUGGUAGGAAUUCAAUUUCGUUAUGAAUUUUCUUACAAAAAAGAAUAAAAUAUGGAUCACUUUCGUCAAGACAAUACCAGCUGUUGAGCGGGUCUGUUAACAAUUUAUUUGCAUAGCAAGACCAACUGUGCAGCGGGUCUAUUUUUGUCUUUUCUUACCAUUUCAUGACCAGCUGUGGAGCGGGUCUCUAAAAAGAAAAAGAAAAAAAAAGUUUGCAACAUGACCAGCUGUUGAGCGGGUCUUUCUGAUCGUUUGUCUCGCUGUUUAGCAGACGUCUCUUCAUAUCCAGCUGUUGAGCGGAUAUAUUUCUGUUUUGCUCGGGACUAGAAAAAUCAAAUACAAGCAGUUUAGUUCACUCGGAAGAUAAAUGGCUUAAGUGAAAGCUAAAUGGCAUUUCCAAUUACAAGGAUCAAUUUUACUGCUCACUGCACGAGAACCUUGAAUAUGGAUGGCAUGGUAUUCCUAUAUCAGCACCACUCAAGGCUCAAGCCAUCUCACGUAUGUGACGGGAAACAAGAAUCAAUCAAGCACGACCCACUAGUUGCUAAAGGGAAAUUGGAGACGGGGCUUCUCUCCUACCACAUUUCUCUGUUGAAUUAUUAAGGCAUAUAUAUAUAUAUAUAUAUUCUAUCUUUUACCAAAACAAAGAAAAGAGAUUUUCUUUUAUCUCUUCAAGCAGUUGCACCUUGCAUGAUAGGAGACUGAAUUCAAAGAUGAAUUAUCGGUGAGAGUAUACAAGGUCAAGAAGAAGAGCCGGUGAUGGAUCUACGCUGUUUUCUAAUACUUAUAAUGAUUCUGAUUUUGGGAAGUUGUGGUGACGACGACAAAAACAAUAGACAGAUUUGAGGGCUUCUUCCAACAACAAUAGGUUCGAUUCGAGAUUUUAAUCAGGAUUGGGGUUUCAUGUGUGCUAGCUGAAUGGAUUUCAGGGGUUCGUACUCAUACUGAAAUUGGGUUCAUGUGAGAGGAAGUAGAUGGCUGAAUCUUAGUGACAGUGGUGGUUUUGAACUGGAAUUCAGGGAGAAUGGAACAAAUUUGGGGUUUAUUAACCCAACUGAGUUUGGGGGAUUAAAUGGUGGCGGUACAGGUCUUGCGAGUGAACGAAGAUGGGUUUGCUGCUGAUAAAGAUGUUCAUGACUGCAAAAAUUUUCCAUCUCAACUGAGUUUAAAUUGUCUCUCACUAUCAACAACAACAUUAAUACAUGAAGGUUCUGUUGUGCCGAAAUUCAGGAGAUGAUUGCAAUUGGUUUUGUUAGCAGUGGUUAGUUGAGAGCUUUAAGAAGAUAAUGGAGACGUCAGUCGACAUCAAUUCCUGAAGAAUGCCAUGAAAUCAAAGAUGGGGUCAACUGGUGGUGGCUGUAUGCGGAUCUGCAGACAUGGUUGGAGUUGAACUGGUUGCAUCGGUUAAAGUAGAAGUUUAGAGAAUGGAAGACGGUUGAAAGUGGCUGGAGCAAUGGUGUUAAUAGGACGCAUGAAGGGCUCACUGUUGUUUAGGUUGGAAUUAAAUGGAGUGACAAGUUCAGGGACUCUUAUGAACUCGUGGUAUUAUCGAUCAGGGUAACUCAUAAUAGCUUUUGCAGACGGCAAGGAGGGUCCUGGUUCAGUAAUUUGAUUGUUUGUGGAGUAGUUGGUUGAGCUGCUGCUACGGGUAUACAGGACAGUGCCUGGAUGGACAUAUUAUAGAAACUGGUUAGGUUGUUGGAUUUGGGAAUUAGUGGAUUUUGGAUUGGGGCCUUUGGAGUUUGCUUGAAGGGUCCAAGUAGGAGUCUUUGCUGCACCUACAAAUAACCAGCGAGAUGGAUUGGAUGGACACCGUCAACUGGAGAAACUAGGGUUUGGUGUUUUACUAAUUUCUUUUCUCCAUGAUUUUCUAAACUAUUGUCAGGGUGAAAGGAUGAACAUAUAGGUUAGAUUAUUUAUGUUCAUGAACAAGAGGUUCUUUAAUCAAAAGCUUAUUGUUAUGUUUGAGUAUCUCA